UACGUAGGUGGCAAGCGUUGUCCGGAUUUACUGGGCGUAAAGAGCGCGCAGGCGGCUGGUCAAGUCCGAUGUGAAAUCUCCCGGCUCAACUGGGAAACUGCAUCGGAAACUGAUCGGCUUGAAGAUGGGAGAGGGUAGUGGAAUUCCCGGUGUAGUGGUGAAAUGCGUAGAUAUCGGGAGGAACACCAGUGGCGAAGGCGACUACCUGGCCUGUUCUUGACGCUGAGGCGCGAAAGCUAGGGGAGCAAACGGGG
rnacentral:rRNA from 1 species